GUAAAUGCAGCAAUUUACUGAAUAGAUCUAUUUAAUUUUCACAUGGAUUUUGGUGAUCAAUUCAUGUUGGAAAUGUUUGUUAUGUAGUAAUUUACAAGAUGAUGAAAUCUUCUGAGCAGUCCCACCAAGACUAUUGCCACUAUCAAUAGCUAUAGUUGGAUCCACUGGUGGAUCCAUCAACAGACAAUGACCAAAUUUAAACUUGGUCUUUAGAUGAACAGAUUGUGGAAAAGGUGAGAAACAAGAGAAAGGAAUAAAAGCCAAAAAGUCCCAUUUUCAUGUGUUUAUGCUCUUGCAUAUAUAUAUAUAAUACGAGCAUCCGCAUAUACACGUGGCUGCCACAGAUCACUUCGAUCGCCACCCAACAUUUGAUGUCCAGAAAAUGGAUAUGUGGCACAAACAGAGUAGGAGGCGUAUGUCAUGUUCCAAAGGCUGCUAGACUCCUCUUUAAUAUAGUAGUAUAGAUUUAGAGAGAUGAGUUCCGAGAUUUCUUCUCAUCUCAUGAAGCUAUUCUGUAGAAUCUCCGCUAUCUGCCUAGCUUUUCCUCCACCCACGCCUGUCCUCAAGGCAUUUGUGUGAAGCAACAACAUAGAGCUUGAUGCCAUGUACACUUUCUUCUUUUGGUAAAUAUAGCACCCGUGC
rnacentral:lncRNA from 1 species